rnacentral:lncRNA from 1 species
CAUUUCUUGUUCAGUGUGGAUGUAAGUGUGGUCCUUACUAAAUCUGAGCAAUAACCACAAGUCACCCCUUGCAAAUCAGACACUAUGUCACGCACUAGCUACAACCCAAGGACACCGUGAAACUCCGAGGGCACAUGAGGAUCAACCAUUGCGCAAGCCAGCAGCAGACCAAUGUUCUCACUGAGCAGCAAAUGUACAUCAUGUGCCACAGCAUGCAAAGUGCCGGAACGUCGAUGACACUUGAGAAGGUGGCUGUGGUGACUAAUUGUGACUCUUGCUCUAUAGCGAACACCAAACAUCUAUUGGCUAUAAAAGGAAGUUAUUGGUGAUUGCUCUUGUCAAUCUGCCAGGACUUAGAAUCAUCUGGGAGGCACACCUGCAAGUGUGUUUCCAGAGAGGAUAAAGUGAAGAUGGGAUCUCAAAGUGGGAUUUCAUCUUCUAGGAGAAUAUGGACUCAGUAAUCUUGCAUCAUCAUGAGAAGCCAUGCACUUACUUGGAGCAAACCCGGAUGAGCAGGGAUCCUCGGCGGCAGCCUUAGCAGUGUCUCUCGCCCCAGACUGCCAGUUGGUAUGCAUCCCAUCUCAGGAGGAAAUGAUGGUUAAAUACCAAAACAUCUUCCAGUGUCAGCCCCACAUGGAACCCUCAAGAACAGUCCAGUUUACUGACCUCUCCCAUAGUUAUCUAACAUCAGCUGACUGCAAUAAAAUGUAAGCUGCAUCAAGGUAAGAACAAUAUAGCCAUAAAUACAUUUGUUUAAGCUGUUACUUUUACGUGUCAGGUGUGUGCCCCUCCCACACUGAAAAUUCAUCCACUCGGGACCAGCCAUUCU